UAUCAUUUAGAGGAAGGAGAAGUCGUAACAAGGUUUCCGUAGGUGAACCUGCGGAAGGAUCAUUGUCGAAACCUGCAAAGCAGACCGUGAACACGUGUUUAACAUCACCGGGCACGGUGUGGGGAGACUCACGCCGUGUACCACCCCCGCCGGUGCGCGCCCUCGGGCGUCGAAUCGUGCGGGCUAACGAACCCCGGCGCGGCAUGCGCCAAGGAAAACAAAAUUUAGCGUCUGCCCUCCGCAUCCCGUUCGCGGGGUGUGCGGUGGGAGUGGACGUCUAUCGAAUGUCAUAACGACUCUCGGCAACGGAUAUCUCGGCUCUCGCAUCGAUGAAGAACGUAGCGAAAUGCGAUACUUGGUGUGAAUUGCAGAAUCCCGUGAACCAUCGAGUCUUUGAACGCAAGUUGCGCCCGAAGCCAUUAGGCCGAGGGCACGUCUGCCUGGGCGUCACGCAUCGCGUCGCCCCUCUCCCCGCGCCGAGCGCUCGUGAAGGGGGCGGAUAUUGGCCUCCCGUGCGCCCCGGCGUGCGGCUGGCCCAAAUGAGAUCCCUCGGCGACUCAUGUCGCGACUGGUGGUGGUUGAAUAACUCAAUCUCGCGUCUUGUCGUGCUACUGCGUCGUUCGUACGGGCAGCGAAUAAUGACCCAACGGUGCUCGUGUGUUACAGCACCGCACCUUCGACCGCGACG
rnacentral:rRNA from 1 species